UACGUAGGGUGCAAGCGUUAAUCGGGAUUACUGGGCGUAAAGCGUGCGCAGGCGGCUUUGCAAGACAGAUGUGAAAUCCCCGGGCUCAGCCUGGGAACUGCAUUUGUGACUGCAUGGCUAGAGUACGGUAGAGGGGGAUGGAAUUCCGCGUGUAGCAGUGAAAUGCGUAGAUAUGCGGAGGAACACCGAUGGCGAAGGUAAUCCCCUGGACCUGUACUGACGCUCAUGCACGGAAGCGUGGGGAGCAAACAGG
rnacentral:rRNA from 1 species